ACAUCCGUAGUUCAGCUGGUUAGAACAUCACUAUGACAUAGUGAAAGUCAGAGGUUCAAGACCUUUCGGAUGUAC
rnacentral:tRNA from 1 species